UCGAGAGGCUUCGGCAAUGGGGGAAACCCUGACCGAGCGACGCCGCGUGGGUGAUGAAGAUUCUCGGAUCGUAAAACCCUGUCAGGUGGGAUGAAAAACCAUUCGGUUAAUACCCGAGUGGCUUGACAGUACCACCAGAGGAAGCUCCGGCCAACUCCGUGCCAGCAGCCGCGGUAACACGGGGGGAGCAAGCGUUGUUCGGAUUCAUUGGGCGUAAAGAGCUCGUAGGCCGCUCUGUAAGUCGGAAGUGAAAGACCACGGCUCAACCGUGGAAACGCUUUCGAAACUGUGGAGCUUGAGGCCGGGAGAGGAGAUCGGAAUUCCUGGUGUAGCGGUGAAAUGCGUAGAUAUCUGGAGGAACACCGGUGGCGAAGGCGGCAUCCUGGACCGGUAUUGACGCUGAGUGAGCGAAAGCCAGGGGAGCAAACGGGAUUAGAUACCCCAGUAGUCCCUGAGCGGGCUGGCAAGGCGCAU
rnacentral:rRNA from 1 species